CACGCUGAUCUCACCACCACCUGUUCCCUUCCUCCCUGCCUCCCAGUAAGCAGCAGCAACAUGAUCAACCAGAGGCCAGAAUGCGCAAGGCAAGAACACAAAAACUAAAAUUACAAUCAAAACCAUAUACAGCUUACAUUAAAACAAGCAAUAAAUACCAGAGCUAUAUAAAAAGCCAAGACAGGAUGGAUCAGCUUGGAUCAGAGAUCUGUGUGGCUGCUUUUUCUUCAAAGCCCUCCAGCACAAAACGCUCAAAAAUGAAAAGAGUUGAAAUUCUUCUGCCUGGAGGAACCCUGAAGCUUUAUAGCACUCGUGUGUCAUCUUCAAAACCUGGAAGAAAACCAAGACAAUAUGGCCAUCAUUAAGCUAGUACAGCAGAGCAACAACUGCCUGGCCACUCUGGAAAUGCCUUUCAGAGAUGAAAAAUUAUUAGGAUAUUUUGGACUUGUCUGCUGCAUAAACAGGCUACAAAUAAUUAGGGGGAGUCUUUGUUGGGGGAUUCCCAUCAUGACUCAGAUGCAUGG